rfam:Schistosoma margrebowiei strain Zambia genome assembly, scaffold: SMRZ_scaffold0001144
AUCCAGCUGACGAGUCCCAGAUAAGACGAAACACGCGUUUUACUGAAU